CAUCUGUUUUGUCAUUUCUCUCAUAGCUCGCUAGGUGUACAAAUACAGUAACCUGCACCUGAACAAUGUGUUAUUUCUUUAAAUCUCAUAAAACAGGCGGGUGGAGACUAAUAGAAGGCUGUUUGAAAAAGCAGCACACACUUUGAAGGAAACGUCCCUCCUCUGAACAUCUUCACCUCUCUGCUCCAGAGGACCUGACAAGAAUACUUUCUGCCUAUUCUGAAACACAAAGAUGGCUGUAGCUCUCACUCUCCUUCUUGUUGGCUGUCUGCUCCCAGGUGCCCUGUGUGGACAGUUUGAGAGCAUUAUACA